CCUGUGGUCAUGAUAAGAAGACUCUGUAUCAAGAAUGUAAUUCAUGGAUAUUCAAAAGCUCUUUAAUUUGUAGUUUAAUUGAUCCACAUUUGGUCUAAUCCAAACAUAAGCUUUUUUUUUUUUUUUUUUUUUUUUUUUUUUUAUGGAAACAGGUUUCAGUGGCCCUGCUCCCAGAUGUAACAUUUUGUCCUUUAGAGGUCUGUUCCAUCCUCACAUCUGGUGUCCCUCAUUAUAGAUGUAUUUGAAGCACAGGAAAGUCCACAGAAAAGUGUGUACCAUGGCUGGGACAUCAAGGUUCUCCCUGAAGAAAUGGAGAUCUUUCUUGAUGGUGGCUCUGCUCACAAUAGGGCCAUCUCUGUAUCUCUGGCUACAGGGUUUUUACCCAUUGUGACCCCUAGAACCUGGAUGGGUUGUUUAUAAUUCUGCAGGACUCCAAGAGAUCCUUGUUCACAUGAUAAGCUGGUUUUGAUUUCCUCAGGGCCUGGUCACAGAGUGGGAACGAAGAAACUAAAAUUUAUUGAAUUCCUAUGCUGGGAUAAGAGAUGGAUCUGCGGUGGUAGCAGGCUGCCUGGAUACAGAUCAGAAAACUCAUCACCAUCAACCAGCAGGUUGAGAAGGACAGAGAGGGGCCUUGGUAUCAUAUAGUCUCUGGACAUUGGCAGCUCCCAGUGCCUCUCCAGAUCCUUGGAUUAUCAGAGAUUUAAAAUAUUGCUAACACCAACUGCUGAAGAUGAUAUGUGGAGAAUUCAGCACUGUCAUAUAGAGCCAGGAGGAGCAUCAUUUGAUGGCAUGACCUUUCUGGAAGAAAAAUAGCAAAAUCUACAAAGGUCAUCAGCCAAGAAAUGCCACUUCUGGAAGUUUAUCAGAAAAUAUCAC
rnacentral:lncRNA from 1 species